GCCGACGCGCUGAGCUGGCCGGAAACGCUACGGCUUUGGGUGCCACGCCGAAAUCCGACCGUACGUCUCGACAUGCGGAACCAAUAUUUCACGAGUAAAGUUCCGCAUCACGUUCGCUGCCGUACGCUGUUAGAAAAGAAGAACAAUGGUCUUUAGGACUUCACUGUGCUGAUGAAACAAGGAGCUGACAUUUUAUCUAUGUCUGCAGGUGUGAACAUCUCCAUGUUGCAUGAGAAGGUUGUUAUCUGGAUGAGAGGAAACAUCGAUGCAAACAUAAACUGAGACUCUACUCCUUCAUUAAACUCUCUGCUGGCUGUUUGAGCUUCUACCAUAUUUGAACUGUCCACUAUAACAGAUGUUCCAGAGGUGAAGGAAAGGUAAACAGCUCCAUGAUGUGAUGGACUUAUUACUGACCUAUAUAUAUGAAAGCAUGUAUGUAACAUAAAAACAAUGUUCUGCCUUUCUAGCUAUUAUCAAAUUUCCUCUACACUUACAAACCUCAAACAAGAAAAAGGACUUUUAUGUUUUUUCGUUUUGGUUUUUAUAGUUAAAAAAAUUCUGUCUGA